CACGCGGAAAAAUUCCACGACCCAGUACGUCAGGAAAAUAUCCCCGGCUCGCUCCUGCCGAAGCGCUCGACCGACGCAGCCAUCCUCGAGUUCUCUCCCCUUUGGCGACCGGGAGCGCCGCCGCCUCCGCCGCUCCCUCCGGCAACCGCAAGUGACCGGCGACCGCGAGCGACCCCGACGCCUCCGCCUCCCUCCGGCGACCGCGAACGACCCCAACGUCUUCCUCCGGUGACCGCGAGCGACCCCGACGCCUCCCUUUGGCGAUCUCGAGGCUCCUCUCCCCUCCGACGCAGCAGGAUCUGGUACAUGGUUCCAUAUCAAACUUGGAGAUCUUGGAGAUGAUCAUAAGGAACGUUGUCAUUGAUUGGAAUCGUUAUAAAAUGGUGAUGGUGCUUUGUUAGCAACUGCUGUCUUGAAUCUCUUUGCAGGGACUGUUUUUUCUUUAUCAUUUUAAGGGUCAUAAAUUAAGACUGUUACCUCAAAUUUGGUUCACUCUGUAAUUUUACUUGCUAUCAUUGUUCCUGUUUGGCGGAUAGUCUUGUUCGGAGGAUCUGGCACCUCGUUUUGGAUUCAAAAAAUUGUAAUCUUGUGGUGUUUGAUCCUAACAAAUUUAGUUUCGGAUAUCAGUUUUGCUUGCCAUUUAUUGUUC